GUUAGUGAGUCUGAAGCCUGCAC
rnacentral:piRNA from 1 species